AGUGAACGCUGGCGGUAGGCCUAACACAUGCAAGUCGAACGGCAGCACAGUAAGAGCUUGCUCUUACGGGUGGCGAGUGGCGGACGGGUGAGGAAUACAUCGGAAUCUACUUUUUCGUGGGGGAUAACGUAGGGAAACUUACGCUAAUACCGCAUACGACCUACGGGUGAAAGCAGGGGAUCUUCGGACCUUGCGCGAUUGAAUGCGCCGAUGUCGGAUUAGCUAGUUGGCGGGGUAAAGGCCCACCAAGGCGACGAUCCGUAGCUGGUCUGAGAGGAUGAUCAGCCACACUGGAACUGAGACACGGUCCAGACUCCUACGGGAGGCAGCAGUGGGGAAUAUUGGACAAUGGGCGUAAGCCUGAUCCAGCCAUACCGCGUGGGUGAAGAAGGCCUUCGGGUUGUAAAGCCCUUUUGUUGGGAAAGAAAAGCAGCAGGUUAAUACCCCGCUGUUCUGACGGUACCCAAAGAAUAAGCACCGGCUAACUUCGUG
rnacentral:rRNA from 1 species